rnacentral:rRNA from 1 species
UGGGGAAUCUUGCGCAAUGGGCGAAAGCCUGACGCAGCAAUGCCGCGUGAGGGAAGAAGGCCUUAGGGUUGUAAACCUCUUUCAGCAGGGACGAAAACAGACGGUACCUGCAGAAGAAGCCCCGGCUAACUACGUGCCAGCAGCCGCGGUAAUACGUAGGGGGCGAGCGUUGUCCGGAAUCAUUGGGCGUAAAGAGCGUGUAGGCGGACUGGAAGGUCUGGUGUGAAAGCCCGGGGCUCAACCCCGGAGGGUCACUGGAAACCAACAGUCUUGAAUCUGGAAGAGGAGAGUGGAAUUCCUGGUGUAGCGGUGGAAUGCGCAGAUAUCAGGAGGAACACCAAUGGCGAAGGCAGCUCUCUGGUACAUGAUUGACGCUGAGACGCGAAAGCGUGGGGAGCGAACAG